GAAAUGCGAUAAGUAGUGUGAAUUGCAGAAUUCAGUGAAUCAUCGAAUCUUUGAACGCACAUUGCGCCCCUUGGUAUUCCAUGGGGCAUGCCUGUUCGAGCGUCAUUGUACCCUCAAGCUCUGCUUGGUGUUGGGUGUUUGUCCCCGUCUCCGCGCGUGGACUCGCCCCAAAGUGAUUGGCAGCCGGCGUACUGGUCCCGGAGCGCAGCACAUGUCGCGCAAACGAGUGCCUUGGUACGGCGGCGUCCAUAAGCCCCUCUCUCACGCUCUUGACCUCGGAUCAGGUAGGGAUACCCGCUGAACUUAAGC
rnacentral:misc_RNA from 1 species